rnacentral:rRNA from 1 species
AUUGAACGCUGGCGGCAUGCUUUACACAUGCAAGUCGAACGGUAACAGGGUGCUUGCACCGCUGACGAGUGGCGAACGGGUGAGUAAUGCGUCGGAACGUGCCGAGUAGUGGGGGAUAACGCAGCGAAAGUUGUGCUAAUACCGCAUACGUACUGAGGUAGAAAGUGGGGGACCUUCGGGCCUCACGCUAUUCGAGCGGCCGACGUCUGAUUAGCUAGUAGGUGAGGUAAAGGCUCACCUAGGCGACGAUCAGUAGCGGGUCGGAGAGGAUGAUCCGCCACACUGGGACUGAGACACGGCCCAGACUCCUACGGGAGGCAGCAGUGGGGAAUUUUGGACAAUGGGCGAAAGCCGGAUCCGGCCAUGCCGGGUGUGUGAAGAAGGCCUUAUGGUUGUAAAGCACUUUAAGCGAGGAGGAGGCUACUCUAGUUAAUACCUAGGGAUAGUGGACGUUACUCGCAGAAUAAGCACCGGCUAACUCUGUGCCAGCCGCCGCCGUAA